AUGAUUCUCUUCAAACACCAAGCAUACAUUACAAUUACACCUUUACAAACAAAGAAAAACACAACAAGAUACUAUCCUAUCCCAAUCCUAAUCUUCAAGUCAAUUUCUAAAAACCUCAUUCAAGCUUUUCCAAAAUUUUUCUCGCUCAAUACACCUCACCAAACCAAUUCCCAUGUCAAAAAUCUGGUCACCAUUUUAAAGCCAUGUCCGAACAUACUUGCAGCCUGCAACAUAAACCAAUCCAUAUUAAAACUCCUUAUCAGAAAAGAAAUUAAACAAAAAUAG